GAUGAAGAACGUAGCGAAAUGCGAUAAGUAGUGAGAAUUGCAGAAUUCAGUGAAUCAUCGAAUCUUUGAACGCACAUUGCGCCUCCUGGCAUUCCGGGAGGCAUGCCUGUUCGAGCGUCAUCAAACCCCAUCGUGCAAAUGAAUUAUUUUUUUUGCGCGGAAGUGACGAUUGAGCGAGAAUAACAAAUCCUCUCGCACCUCGUCGAAAUGAUUGCGGGCGGAAUUUGGGAUCGGGUUCCUCGGCGUAGUGUAUCAAUGCAUAUUUAUGCAACUUGCCGCGGAGUUGAGCCUGACCCACGCGUUCUCGCCGUACAAACACCUCAUUACUUUACAAGUUUUUGACCUCGGAUCAGGUAGGGAUACCCGCUGAACUUAAGCAUAUCAAUAAGCGGAGGA
rnacentral:misc_RNA from 1 species